rnacentral:rRNA from 1 species
GACGUAGGGCGCGAGCGUUGUCCGGAUUUAUUGGGCGUAAAGAGCUCGUAGGCAGCUUGUCGCGUCGUCCGUGAAAACCUGGGGCUCAACCCCAGGCUUGCGGUCGAUACGGGCAGGCUGGAGUUCGGUAGGGGAGACUGGAAUUCCUGGUGUAGCGGUGAAAUGCGCAGAUAUCAGGAGGAACACCAAUUGCGAAGGCAGCUCACUACACGAAUAUUGACACUGAGGCACGAAAGCGUGGGGAUCAAACAGG